GACAGAGGUGCCAAGCGUUAGGCGGAAUCACUGGGCUUAAAGGGCGCGUAGGCGGGCUCGCAGGUCAGGGGUGAAAGCCCACGGCUCAACCGUGGAAGUGCCUUUGAUACCGUGAGUCUCGAGGGAGGUAGGGGCGUGCGGAACUUCCGGUGGAGCGGUGAAAUGCGUAGAGAUCCGGAGGAACACCAAAGGCGAAGGCAGUGUCCUGGGGAGUACCUGACGCUCAGGUGCGAAAGCCAGGGGAGCGAACGGG
rnacentral:rRNA from 1 species